GAUGAAGAACGCAGUGAAAUGCGAUAAGUAAUGUGAAUUGCAGAAUUCAGUGAAUCAUCGAAUCUUUGAACGCACAUUGCGCCCCUUGGUAUCCCGAGGGGCAUGCCUGUUCGAGCGUCAUUUCACCACUCAAGCCUGGCUUGGUGUUGGGCGACGUCCCCUUUGGGGACGCGCCUUGAAACGCUCGGCGGCGUGGCACCGGCUUUAAGCGUAGCAGAAUCUUUCGCUUUGGAAGUCGGGGCCCCGUCUGCCGGAAGACCUACUCGCAAGGUUGACCUCGGAUCAGGCAGGGAUACCCGCUGAACUUAAGCAUAUCAAUAAGCGGAGGA
rnacentral:misc_RNA from 1 species